CCAAGAAUGCCAAUGAAUUAAGCCAAAAUCACAUUUUGAAACUUUGCGUGGAGCAUCUUCUCCUUUAAAAUUCCACGUACAAUCCUAAAAUGAUGCUCAUUUUCCUCCCUACUAGGGGACUAUAUCAAUAUAGCAUCAAUGAAAACAAUAAAAAAGGAAUUUAAGUAUGGUCUGCACACCCAUUCAUUAAGUCCAUAAAAGGUGUUGGGAAUUAGUCAGCUCAAAAU
rnacentral:lncRNA from 1 species